ACUCCUACGGGAGGCAGCAGUAGGGAAUAUUGGUCAAUGGGGGCAACCCUGAACCAGCCAUGCCGCGUGCAGGACGACUGCCCUAUGGGUUGUAAACUGCUUUUGUUAGGGAAUAAACCCCACUACGUGUAGUGGGCUGAAUGUACCUAAAGAAUAAGGAUCGGCUAACUCCGUGCCAGCAGCCGCGGUAAU
rnacentral:rRNA from 1 species